CAGUGUAGGGAGGACAGCAAGCACUGAGUGGGACUGCAGGUCUGCUGUCCUUAACUUUUCCACACCCAGGACAGCCCGGCUGUCAGCACAGGGCAGCAGAAAGGACAGGGGACAGGCUCCAGGUGUGGGCGAGUCCCAGAGCAGCCCGGGGAGAGUGUCACCGUGUGGGUGCUGGCGUGGGGGCAGGAGCACACCACAUGCAGUUGCACGUGGGACUGGAUCUGAGGCUUUGGGGAAGCAUUCAAGCCCCGGGGUGUGUGUGAGGGGGUCCUCCCCACGAGCAAUUCUCCAGGCCCAGCAAUGGCCGAUUUCCUCUGCUUGAGGAGAAAUCUCCUGUGAGGAAGGUGGAGGCAGGCUCUGUGGUCAGACAGGCUGCUGUCUGAGGCGUUAGCCAGUUCUCGCUCCCCCCCUGAACAUGUCAACAGCCUCUUUGGACAGAUGGGAAGAUAAAGAGGCACCAGAGACCCUCCUAGCCCAUGCUGGAAGAGAAGGCCAUUCCAUCUGGGAAUCACAUGGCACUAGGUGGAGAAAGAACCAACUGGGCCCCAUGCCUUGCAGAACCAGCAUCCAGCCUGUGUCCACAGUGCUCCUGGAGCCACAGAAUGUUUCAUGCCUCUAACCCUGCUUUCUGUCUGUCUGUCUGUCUGUCUGUCUGUCUCUCUGUGUGUGAGUUCUACAUACAUGUGUAACAUUCACACUCAUGCUCUGGCCCAUGAGCUUUAUCCAUGUGCUCAGCACCCUCCCAUCCAAAAAUCUCCAAAGCACAGGCGACCAGCCUGAGUUCUCCAACAGACGGUCACUCCCAGGCUCCACCCAGCCCUUCCCCAGCCCCUUCACACAGCCCAGCUCAGCCAGGCAGGUGUCCCCUAGGGCACUAUUUUCAAGCACACUUUCUCUGCAGAUGUUCAGUCAUUUGCACCUGGGACUGCUCUGCAUUUGUGCGUCAGCCUCAGUGGGGGUGUCUGAAUUGGGUGAGAAGGUGUGUCCGGAGAAGAAUCCUGACUUGCAUUGGUCUGAGCAGAAAACGAAUAAAAAAUGUUCUCGCCAUGGAAAAAUCCAGAAGGGUGUUGGCCCAGGCACAGCUCUGGGUCAAAGUUUUAAGAACCCCCACUCAUCUCUCUUGGCUGCCUUCACCUUCCUUAACCUCCGGACUAGCACCAUCAAGAAAGCCUCUAGGAGCCAGGUGGUGGUGGCACACGCCUUUGAUCCCA